rnacentral:rRNA from 1 species
AAACCAACAGGGAUUGCCCUAGUAACGGCGAGUGAACAGGCAAGAGCUCAGAUUUGAAAGCCUCUCGGGGCAUUGUAUUCUGAAGCCUUGAUUCUGAGAAACGGUACCUAAGUCUUCUGGAAAGGAGCGCCAAGGAGGGUGAUAGCCCCGUACGGUACUGACCUCAUUGUAGAAUCUUGGCGUGGAGUCGAGUUGUUUGGGAAUGCAGCUCAAAUGGGUGGUAUGCUCCAUCUAAAGCUAAAUAUCUGCGAGAGACCGAUAGCGAACAAGUACUGUGAAGGAAAGAUGAAAAGAACUUUGAAAAGAGAGUGAAAAAGUACGUGAAAUUGUUGAAAUGGAAGGAUAGGCCGCUAACCACGUAGAGCCGUGUCUGAGGGGAGGAUAAAAGCUGUAGAAUGUGACUCUUCGGAGUGUUAUAGCGAUACAGUGCAUACUCCCAUUCGCGCGGGACUAAGACCUAAGGCUCUGCUAAAUGGUGGUCUAUCAC